rnacentral:tRNA from 17 species
GGAGACGUGGCCGAGUGGUCGAAGGCGCUCCCCUGCUAAGGGAGUAACGUGCAAGCGUUCGAGGGUUCGAAUCCCUUCGUCUCCGCCA